AGAAUCAACGCUGGCGGCGUGCCUCAGACAUGCAAGUCGAACGAUUAAAGCUCUCUUCGGAGAGUGUAUAGAGUGGCGCACGGGUGAGUAACACGUAAGUAAUCUACCUUCGAGUGGGGAAUAACCCGGGGAAACCCGAGCUAAUACCGCAUAAUGCAGCGGCAUCGCAAGAUGACAGUUGUUAAAGGAAUUUAUUUCGCUUGAAGAGGAGUCUUGCGGCAGAUUAGCUUUGUUGGUAAGGUUAACGGCUUUACCGAAGGCUUACGAUCUGUACUCCGGUACUAAGAGGACGGUCGGACACACUGACACUGAAAUAACGGGUCAGACUCCGUACGGGAGCAGCGAGUCGGGUAAUUUGG
rnacentral:rRNA from 1 species